UGGCUUUUAUGUAUUUACGUUGCAUAUGAAAUGAUAUUUAUAGUAAACAGAUUAUUUUAUAUGCAGGUAUGUGCAACCGAAGCAGCAGAAGCCAG
rnacentral:pre_miRNA from 13 species